UUUUUCCAUUUCUUAAAUUUCACUUUCCCCCGCCGAACAAAGGAACCGUGGUUGGAGCUGCCAUCAAUCCUCCAUGCACGGUACUACUCUUGAGCUUCGAAUUUAAAAUAUCACAAAUUUUGUAAGAAUCUCUGAACAACCCUUUGUGAUUGCGUUUGUAAGUUCAAAAUGGUAACUAUGUGAAAAACCCUAUAAUAUGGGUUGAAGGUCCUCCGAAUCGGGUUCAAGUUUCUCGUUCUGAAGAGGCGAGGAGUCGAGUGUGGUCAAGCUCAAGGUUUCGCAGAUUUCAUUUUUCCUAGCCGAACAAAUGAAUCGUGCCCCCUUGAACAUGAAUAAAAACUUUACACAAAGAAGAUGUUUCAACUGCUACAAAUUAUGAACUGCAACAAGCCUGGACUAUUGCCCUGCCUCUUAGAUGCUUAUUGUAAAGAAGCAACCUGUUGUGACAUAGCAGUUGACCUUCCCGAUGCAACCUAUAAUUUUACUUUAAACAAAUUAAAAUAAGCGAGGGUUAGGCCCACGCUACUACUAUAAAGGAGUAAGGAAAUUAAAGAGUCGCAUUUUGAGUGGGUUGGACCGUCGCUUUUUUGAGUCCCUUAUGCACGCAAAAAUUGGAAAGCUUCCAUGUACAGGGAGUGGGUCGAAAGCUGACGCUCAAGGGACGCAUUAGAGUCGGUUUUCACCUUUUUGAUGGGUUUAUGUGGGACUCUAAUACAAUGAUUUCUUGUAGUGAAAGGGUGCUGCAUAAUUUUAAAGUGAAACUGUAAAUUUAAUUGAAAUGCAUUAUUAUAUU